rnacentral:rRNA from 2 species
GGGUUGUGAGGUUAAGCGACUAAGCGUACACGGUGGAUGCCCUGGCAGUCAGAGGCGAUGAAGGGCGUACUAAUCUGCGAUAAGCGCCGGUAAGGUGAUAUGAACCGUUAUAACCGGCGAUACCCGAAUGGGGAAACCCAGUGUGAUUCGUCACACUAUCAUUAACUGAAUCCAUAGGUUAAUGAGGCGAACCGGGGGAACUGAAACAUCUAAGUACCCCGAGGAAAAGAAAUCAACCGAGAUUCCCCCAGUAGCGGCGAGCGAACGGGGAGGAGCCCAGAGCCUGAAUCAGCAUGUGUGUUAGUGGAAGCGUCUGGAAAGGCGCGCGAUACAGGGUGACAGCCCCGUACACAAAAGCGCAUGUGCUGUGAGCUCGAUGAGUAGGGCGGGACACGUGGUAUCCUGUCUGAAUAUGGGGGGACCAUCCUCCAAGGCUAAAUACUCCUGACUGACCGAUAGUGAACCAGUACCGUGAGGGAAAGGCGAAAAGAACCCCGGCGAGGGGAGUGAAAAAGAACCUGAAACCGUGUACGUACAAGCAGUGGGAGCACCCUUUGGGUGUGACUGCGUACCUUUUGU